UACACAAAUAGAUAUAACCGUGCAAGCAUUGCUGCCAUUUCGCCCAUUCAACCUUGACUGGCAGAAUUGUGAUGGUAAUACAUAAGAAAUAACUGACUUGAAGUAUUCUACAAUCAAUGCAACAGAGGCAUCGAUAUCAUUGCAAAGGUCAUCUGUACACUGGUCACAGAACUUUACUUUCUUGGACUGCGAAGGAGUAGUAACAGACACCGAGUGUUUUGCUGAAGCAAUACAAGGAAGGGACAAGGGAUGCAUAGACCAGUCUGAGAAACCCACUUCUGAUGAGCCUAGGACGCUAAGAUAUUGCCUUAUAAGCGUGUACAAUCCAGCUAGCAUGCAAAUUCUUAAUAGAUGACAAUCUGAGGUCUACAGUAAUGUCGCACAUAGAAGUACCCCUGUCUAGCUGUUGUCUGAUCUGAUCGCCAUAUCAGUUUUGAAAUAACUGCCGUAAGUCUUCUUUAAAUGACUUAUUGACUGCAAGUUGUCUGUGUAGCACACUGGCACAUACAACACAGAAAUGUACCUUGCAUCUAGGAAUUUUUGUACAGCGUCUGUUCGAUGGGCUUUAAAAACAUCAACAAUCAAUAAGCCAUGGUACUUCUCGGGCAGUCCUAAUUCCUGUCUUUUCAGGACAAAGUAUGGGUCGACCACUUUCUCUAGGUAUUCUAAAAUGGUGCUUUCUGUUGACCAAUGGGAAGCAGUAUGAGUUAUGUUCCAAGAAUCAGGAAAGUCAUAUCUGGCAAGACAACAAUCAGUGGUACCUUGGUAAAUCACUUGACUGGGUAGGGUUUCACAUAACAUGUUGACUGCAAGCAAUACCGCAAUUUCUCGUUUAUCAUCCAAACCUGCAAUAGCAACCUGACAGGACCCUUUCUUUUCCAUAGUCCAGUUACCAGAAGGGACCAUGCGGACUCCAGUUUAGUCCCAGUUCACAACCAUACCUGCUGGGAUUUGAUGCUUACUCACUACAUCUAGAAACUUAAAAACAAAAUUUUGUUUUAUCUCAGGAAGGUCACCAGAUUUCUCUUUGGCAGCAUUGGUUAACUUCCGUUUGGUAAAACCCAUCCUGUCUAGCAUACAACGAGCCCAGUUCUUCGUUGGAAUAAAAGAACCUCCAAACUCACUCAGCAUGUCCUUCCUUUCGUGGGCGAUGAUCCCACGAGCAGCUGCUAUCACUAUGGGUACACUGACCACACCGCCUGCUUCUCGAAGAUUCAAAAUGUAAUUCCGUAUCAUAUGAUCCAAUGUAUCACCAAUCAACAAUGAACGUCCACGUUUCCGUCUUGGAAGAGAGACAAGUGGAACUUCACAUGAUUGUUGCUUAAUCUUCUGGAGAUAUUUUUUCUGCAUCGAAAGAACCGUACUUUUGUUCACUGGAUGGCUCAGUACACUACUGAAGUGUCUGGCUUCUCGUGCAACUCCAUGAUUGCUUGCAUAACGAGCGAUGCUCAAUCGUUCCGAGGCACUGUACACGUUUUACUCACUCUCUCUUUUCGCUUGCGGUCAGCCCUCGUAGAGAAACCUUCUUGAAGCGACACACAAUCAUUUGCAGCCUUUACUGUCGUAGAAGGUAGACCGAGAACGUCAGUGGGUUGCGGAAGACACGGUCUUCUCUCUACAUCCCCGCUUUACGUAACCAAUUCAUGAGCGUCAUAGGUGGACCACGUGAUGCAUAGAACCACGUGACAUGCAUCAAACCGCGAAAAUUUUAAUCCACGAAAUGGUCUCUGAUAAAAAAAUCUGAAAAUAUAAACACGCGAAAAUUUCCACGUUUAUAGUAUGUGGAAUCCUUGUAAAAAAAGGUGUACAUUAGUUAGUUAACAAAACUGAGUUUCUGUUAACAAUGCAUAAAUGCUGCACCUUUGCUGUUUUCAGUAUGCCAAUAUAAGUACCGUAUUUGGCUGUCUUUUUCGUGUUUCAUAUAUUAAUUAUUACGGAGUUCCAAGGCUUCGAUCGUCCAGAUCGGGGCUGAUCGCUACAAAUGCGAUGAAUGCAAUUCUAAGAAACCUCACGCCCUAAAGAAUUGAGGUUUACUGAACUCACUGAAUUAAAUAUACAUCACUGGGCGCUAUAUGAGGCUGCAUGCAGCCCCAGAGCAGCACCAACGUUGCACAGUUUGGCUACUCUAGUACACCCAUUACUAAUACUUACUAUCACGCGCAGUAUAGAUAUCGGAACUUUAAUUAACUAUGUCAAAUCGAAGAGCAACUGUGUCCUAGAUUGGCCAAGCACAGCUAUCAGUAGGUCUGGUCCUGAAACGCAGACUGCGGCUGCAGGGCCUGGGGCAAUGAGGUUGCUUUAACUAAGUUAAUUAAUUGUAUUCGAAAAACAAUCACAACUUUACAGCCUUCGGGCGCCACUAAUAAACUCAGUUAAGGUAAGAUGGGAAUAAUAUUAUGUGGUGUCUAGUAAUUUUUUAUUUUCGUUUAUUAGGUUAUCUAUGCCUUUCUUACAAAUAACCCCAAGAAGUCAUAAGUCAUAACUUGAUAUCUAUCAAUAAAAAUGUUUUACUGCAAUUAAUGUGACUUAGCAUUGUGUACACAGUUUACCGUUAAUUAAAGUUUUCUUAAUUAAAAUUGUCAUAAUAUACUAAAGUACAGUAAUCAAUUGUAACUGUUUGAUGGUGUUAAUGUUUUAAGUUACCUGACUAACACGCCUCGGCAAUCACUCAGCGAUAGCCUCUUCACUUUACUCAAUAAACGUACACUGGACAGAUUUUUAUAUUUGCGCCAUAUUUACCUUGGUUAAAUUUAAGGUAAAUAUAUUGUUCUAUAUUUACGUAGUAUUUAACCUGAAAAAAUAUAGGUCAAAUGUGUUACGCAUUUACUACACAUUUGCCAAGUAUUUAGACUACUAGUAAAUGUAUUAUACAUUUACUUCACAAAUUUACGCCAUAUUCGACCACUAGUAAAUGUAAUAGAUAUUUAGAACAUAUUUACUAGGAGUAAACUUCAUGUGUAUCUUACUGUCACGUGAUUUACGUCAAGUAUAUUAUAUAAUUAAGUAUUGCUGAAACUUGGGAGACGGUCUGGAACUUCGAGGCUUGUAAAAAUACAUAAUUUAUUUUAACGUCACUUGUUCUGGAAGUUCGAGGCCACGAAUUCGGGCGCGCAGGAGGGCCUGGGUACGAGGCUACGUGUUCGUAGCCUCGUACAAACGAGCCAUAUUGCAACUGUAUGUAGGUCACGCCCUCGGCGACUGAAUACAUAAAUGUUUCGCAGAGCCAAUCCAAAGUUGGAAGACAAAUUAUGGUGGUGAUUUUGGCCAAAAACAAGACCUGACUCUGUGGCAUGGGCGGUGUCUUUCACACGAGAACAUCGAGAACUCGUUUGAACAUCGUUGGACCAGCGCGAAACUCAGCGAAAGUAUAGUUCAGGCUGCAGCUACCAUUAGACAUCCCGGAUGUGGAAGUCUGGGUGUGAAGGUCUGCUAGGGUGAUCAACUAGAUAGCCAAUUGGCAAACGGUUUCAACUGCUAGACUACUCAUGAUCACGAUCUGGUCGAUCGGAGCUAUAGAUAUAGAGUUAUCUCUAUGCAGACUCUGUAGUAGGUUAUGGCAAUGUCUCAGGAAGUAAGAAUGAAAUGAAGUCAACAGCUGUAAUCAAGUGGACUGCGAUGAGUAUAACUUAAAAGAACAGUAUUAGAGACAUUCAAAGUAUUGAUACUGGAUCAGAGUGAGGUUUUAUGAUGGGACGAUACGCAGACGUUAUGCUUUGUGGAGUAUGAAACCGCAGUGAUGCAUUGAUGGCUUACUGGAUCGAGUCCUAUGAGGAUUACUAUUUGUCCAAGUGCUUAUUUGCGAGUACACCUUGGGUUAUAUAGAGAGCUGUCCAUCGAGUAUUCAAGAGUUUAGUGGAGGAAGACGUACUGGAUGGAACUUCAGACAAUGCUUUUCUUCUGAUGAGAAUAAAGUGUUGACAAACAAGAUCGUGGAAAAUGUCAGCAGUUUGAACCCCUCCUUUGACACUAGUGUGAUACGAG